rnacentral:lncRNA from 1 species
UUUUUUUAAAAGGCAGUCCUGAGGAUGUAAGGCAAAGUGGAUACUACAAUUAUUAUAACAAUUAGCAAGAAAGAGGGUUAUCCAAGAGACAGACUAACAAUUCAACUAGAUGUAUGGCUCGGGAAGUUUUAGCAAUUUACAAGACAGGUUCAGUCACAGUCACCAAAAUUAACAAAACCUUUUCUAGGUUUCAUCUGCUAAUAAAAAUGUCAACAUGACUAUCAUCCACUUAAAUCCUUA